GCAAACUUGGUCAUUUAGAGGAAGUAAAAGUCGUAACAAGGUUUCCGUAGGUGAACCUGCGGAAGGAUCAUUAAAGUGGGUAGCUGGUUUAUAGCAUCAUGUAGUGGUAUUGCCAUGCAUGUGCGCCGGCUCCUCCAAAGAAGCGGGUGCGAACAGCAUUCAAUAUCGCCCAGGCUCUGUUGACAGCUGGUAUGUAUGCCCUGUUAAGAUGAGUUUGGAGGGGUAUCUAAGAUCCCCUGCAAGCGUUGCUGUCUCGCAUGUCUGAAUCCGUGUCUUGUUUACCAUCUGUUUCCUCGGCGGGCUCGCCUGCCAAUGAGGACCAAUUUAAACGCUUUGUAGUAGCUGUACAGUCUGAUAACAAACAAAAAACUAUUAAAACUUUCAACAACGGAUCUCUUGGUUCUGGCAUCGAUGAAGAACGCAGC
rnacentral:misc_RNA from 1 species